CGCACGGGUGAGUAACACGUAUCCAACCUGCCGAUAACUCGGGGAUAGCCUUUCGAAAGAAAGAUUAAUACCCGAUGGUAUAAUCAGACCGCAUGGUCUUGUUAUUAAAGAAUUUCGGUUAUCGAUGGGGAUGCGUUCCAUUAGGCAGUUGGUGAGGUAACGGCUCACCAAACCUUCGAUGGAUAGGGGUUCUGAGAGGAAGGUCCCCCACAUUGGAACUGAGACACGGUCCAAACUCCUACGGGAGGCAGCAGUGAGGAAUAUUGGUCAAUGGGCGCAGGCCUGAACCAGCCAAGUAGCGUGAAGGAUGACUGCCCUAUGGGUUGUAAACUUCUUUUAUAUGGGAAUAAAGUUUUCCACGUGUGGAAUUUUGUAUGUACCAUAUGAAUAAGGAUCGGCUAACUCCGUGCCAGCAGCCGCGGUAAUACGGAGGAUCCGAGCGUUAUCCGGAUUUAUUGGGUUUAAAGGGAGCGUAGGUGGACAGUUAAGUCAGUUGUGAAAGUUUGCGGCUCAACCGUAAAAUUGCAGUUGAUACUGGCUGUCUUGAGUACAGUAGAGGUGGGCGGAAUUCGUGGUGUAGCGGUGAAAUGCUUAGAUAUC
rnacentral:rRNA from 1 species